ACAUUGGGACUGAGACACGGCCCAAACUCCUACGGGAGGCAGCAGUAGGGAAUCUUCGGCAAUGGACGAAAGUCUGACCGAGCAACGCCGCGUGAGUGAAGAAGGUUUUCGGAUCGUAAAACUCUGUUGUUAGAGAAGAACAAGGAUGAGAGUAACUGUUCAUCCCUUGACGGUAUCUAACCAGAAAGCCACGGCUAACUACGUGCCAGCAGCCGCGGUAAUACGUAGGUGGCAAGCGUUGUCCGGAUUUAUUGGGCGUAAAGCGAGCGCAGGCGGUUUCUUAAGUCUGAUGUGAAAGCCCCCGGCUCAACCGGGGAGGGUCAUUGGAAACUGGGAGACUUGAGUGCAGAAGAGGAGAGUGGAAUUCCAUGUGUAGCGGUGAAAUGCGUAGAUAUAUGGAGGAACACCAGUGGCGAAGGCGGCUCUCUGGUCUGUAACUGACGCUGAGGCUCGAAAGCGUGGGGAGCAAACAGGA
rnacentral:rRNA from 1 species